UGGGGAAUAUUGGACAAUGGGCGAAAGCCUGAUCCAGCCAUGCCGCGUGUGUGAAGAAGGUCUUCGGAUUGUAAAGCACUUUAAGUUGGGAGGAAGGGCAGUAAGCUAAUACCUUGCUGUUUUGACGUUACCGACAGAAUAAGCACCGGCUAACUCUGU
rnacentral:rRNA from 1 species